rnacentral:rRNA from 1 species
ACGAACGCCGGCGGCGUGCUUAACACAUGCAAGUCGAACGGAAAGGCCCUGCUUUUGUGGGGUGCUCGAGUGGCGAACGGGUGAGUAACACGUGAGUAACCUGCCCUUGACUUUGGGAUAACUUCAGGAAACUGGGGCUAAUACCGGAUAGGAGCUCCUGCUGCAUGGUGGGGGUUGGAAAGUUUCGGCGGUUGGGGAUGGACUCGCGGCUUAUCAGCUUGUUGGUGGGGUAGUGGCUUACCAAGGCUUUGACGGGUAGCCGGCCUGAGAGGGUGACCGGCCACAUUGGGACUGAGAUACGGCCCAGACUCCUACGGGAGGCAGCAGUGGGGAAUAUUGCACAAUGGGCGGAAGCCUGAUACAGCAACGCCGCGUGCGGGAUGACGGCCUUCGGGUUGUAAACCGCUUUCGCCUGUGACGAAGCGUGAGUGACGGUAAUGGGUAAAGAAGCACCGGCUAACUACGUG